rnacentral:tRNA from 1 species
GCCUGAGUGGCUCAGUCGGUUGAGCAUCUGACUUCGGCUCAGGUCAUGAUCUCACAGUUCGUGAGUUCGAGACCCGUGUUGGGCU